rnacentral:lncRNA from 1 species
CACGCACCGCCUGCAGUGAUUGGGUCAUGCAUAGGGCCGGAAAGCGGUGCAUGAAAAUUUUUUUUUUCUUCCGAUGCUGUGCGGGAGCCAAUCACCAUGAAUGAUGGAUGCAGUUCUGCACCACCCAUAGUGCACAAAGAAUUUCACGUACUCCACCAAAGGACAGAAACUUGAGGCAGUAGGAGCUGAAUUUGCUCGCUUGGUGUUGGUGUC